rnacentral:guide_RNA from 1 species
AUUAUAUAAGUGAGAUAUGAUAUAUU